UUGAAUCCCAAUUGGAUAAGAUAGCUGCUGGCUUUCGGGCAUGUGCGCAUCUUGUUCAUUUACCUCUCACCUCUGUGCACUUUUCAUGGAACAAUCAGUGGUUGUUGGCUUCACUGCUGACGACUGCAGGUUGCUUCUGUGUAUUUUAUAAACCUCAGAAUCAGUUUAGAAUGUACAUCGUGUAUCCACACAUUUAAAUA
rnacentral:misc_RNA from 1 species